GACCCUGAAAAGAAAUGCAGAGAAAUGGGACAGAAAAUUCUUGUCAAUAUUAAGAUGUCCAAAUACCCAAUUAGCAAAACGUUAAUUUCAUUACUAUAUGAUAUCGCGCGAAUAAUUUCCUUCGUACAACAAUGUAGAAGUAAUACAAAGUUGGGAGACAUAUCAUGAGCGAGACAAGAGAUAGUGCUGUGACUGUAACUGUGUAAUAAAGGUUGAAGCAUUUUGAAGGUGACUCGUGAAUCAUUUAACCUACAAUUUGCCACUCUCCUUUGGACCACAGUGCAUGGAUUUGCAUGCAUGUACACUCCACCAUGCGAGUUCCCUUUCUAGUCAAUUUGACCUUCGACUUUUCCUUAAAAGUAGUACAAUAAAUUCCAUUCUUUUCUAUUCUAUUCAUUUAUGCCUCUGCUUACUUUUAACUGUAAAGUGCCACUCUUGGAAAGAUCAUACAACUUUGAAAUAGAGAUGACGAAUCUCCAGUCGUCUGAUGAGCUUGUUCUAUCUCUGACAUUGAAUCCUUAAUGAGACAGCCUGACAGGGGCGGGAUUGCAAAAUCUAGCCUUUCUCAUGCCAUUGGCCGUUGCCAUUAUCUGCUCUUGGAAGAAUGGCAACCCACCUAAAAAGAUAAGGUUUUUACAGAAGUAAAUCUUUGUAUGAUUACGGUUUUGGGAUUUGGAUUAAUCACUUUGAAGUGUUCGGAUAUUUUAAGAAAAUUAGGAGAAAAGAAAGGUAAUAGCCAUGCAUGACGAAGAAAGCAUGCAUGAUUAAUAUAGACAUUGAAAUGUCGGUUUCUUUCUUUCUUUCUUUCUUUCUUUCUUUUCUUUCCCUUGAAAGAAAUUUCCAUUAGCUAUAGGAUUAGUUAGGAUUAGUGGGGCUGGAAAUGCUAAGGGAAUCUUGGCAGCAAAAAUAUUUUCAUCUGAAAAAAGUUAAUUUAUUUAAAAAAAAAUAAACUAUCAAUCAUAUCAACCCUAUGAAAUAUCAACUAUUAAAUUAUCCUAUAAUUGAGGAUUGAUUACCUUUUGGAGUUCACCAAUGGACAUGUAUAGGGGAAAUGAUUGUGUGUUUUGACAGUGUCGGAGCCAGGAGCUUCCCUUUGGUAGGGUACCGGUUGCGCGCGUCACCACCGGAUGCGCCGCUGCGGCACCUUCAUCCCCCUUCAAAGCAUUUUUUGGUCGCCGGUACGGCACGUGCCCCUUGCCGUACCUUCUCUCCACCCCUAGUUUUGAGCUUUGAAUUAAAGGAUAUAACUAAAAGAAGAUAAUUAAAAUGUUGGUUCUUUGAUUUGUG
rnacentral:lncRNA from 1 species